GCUGCUGCUGCCUUAUUUACUACUUCGCCGCCUCUGUCCCUACGAACAUACUCUUUGGUAUCGCAAACACGUCUAAAAGUGGAGAAAAGUGGAACUUUUUUUAGGUUAGGUGUGAGAAGUCACAGUCGAAAAGAAGUUUUCGAGUUACGUAAUUGAUUUGAUUAACUACUUCUUAUUAGAUGCAAAAUAUUGUACAUAAUUGUGUACGAUAUAUAGAGGAGGGUCGAAGGAGAGACUGGUUAAUCUAAUGGAAAUGAUGGCGAAAGUAGUGGUCAAGGUCGGUCAACUAUCGAUCAAUCAAUUUUCUUCCCAUUCUCCUCCCAUUGUACAAACGGCCUCUGUUUCAUCUGAUCUUGUCCCGACAUUCUACCGCCUUGAUAUUAAUUCACCUCAUCGACCUGUCGCGUUAACAAGCUACAAAUAAAAAAGAAUUUAGCAAUCGCUGAAGUAGGAAGCAGUUGGCUUUUCUAACACGACCAACAUAUCGGUUUUCUGUUUCUUGAUUGAAAUAACAGCAGGCCUCGACGUGUUUAUCAAGCUCUUGAUACGCAGUGGUACGACGAUAGAGACUGUUCUAACCUCGUCGUUUCUUCUGUUCUUUAUUUACUCUUUUAUAUUUGUCAGUUUGCUUUUUUUACGUGGAAAUCAACAACGAAUUGUUCGCCCUGUUAUUUGCGCCCGGAAAACAGUUCUUGCGCGCAACAAUAGAAAACUCCAACAAGUUGUCAGUUUGUCGACAUAGCGUGAAUAACAUUUCCUGAAAUGUUUUAUAUUCCGCUUUGUGUUGAAGGUAUUUGGAAGAAAAAUUGGACACACUGAUGGAUUUGUACGAGAAGAAAUAAGCUUUUCAAUGCUCUGGUAAUUUUUCGUAAUUUUUGCGGAGAAUAAUAUCGUGUAUAAAAGUGAAAAAUAGGAUUUUUUAAAAUCUCUUUCGCCUGUUUCUCAUACCUCAUUUUCUUUGUUUGCGACGCAACGAUAGAAUCGUUAUCGCCGUGAAUCGUGAAAGCGCGCGCGUGUAAAAGUAUGCAAAAUCGUAAGUAAACGUUAUUAUUCUUGUUACCAAAUGAAAUUGAUAUAUUUAAUACUUGUCAUACGUACCUGCGAUAAGAUAUGAUACUAGAAUGUACAUGCCAUGAAAUAUGGUGAAAUUUGACUAAAAUGUCGAAUUUUUUAUUUUAUAAAUAAAAAGUUGAGAUAUAGCAGUUUUUCUUCUAUCUAACAUAAUUUAGCCAAAUUUCACCAAGUUUCCCCGGUCCCAGCAUCGAUCCGACUGGCUUACAAAUAAUCGGAUGCCAUUGUGUUAAGAUAACCAACUAAAUUCUUCUCAUAAAAAUAAAUUCUUAUCAGAAUGACGAUUUGGAAUCUAAGCAGAAAGACUGAUUCAUUUCAAUAAAAGGUUUUAGUAUAAAUUAGUUUUAGUAUAAGUGCAUUGAAAUAUACAUAUGUAGUAUAUAAAAUAUCAUACCUUAUAUGUUAUAUCUUAAUCUAGUAAUAUUGUAUCCUUGCAGUAUUAUUAAACAAUAGUGCAUUUAAGUCAAUGAAAGAUCACAUAUAUGUAUUUCCUUUCGUAGGAAACUGAGAGGAGAAAGUCCCUUUUAAAUAUCUUCAAAGUUUUAUUAAUAUCCUUGGUACGAUGUUUGAUGUGAGUUGUUGUCGGUUGACCUCGAUCUUUUCAUCUUACUCGGCGAUUGUUGCGCAAUCGGUAUUUCUGCCAGCCACGAAAAUUUAUGAAAAUCUUGAAAGCUUUUCAUCGAGUUUACACUACGUUCAGCGGUGUCUCGUUGAACGAUGUCAGAUGGAAAGCUGCUUGAAAGAACGAAUAUAGGUCGAAUAUAGGUCGUCGUUGUUACCCGUUUAUUUUAUCAGGGUUGCUGGAAACUCGACAAACGAGAGAACGAGAAAGAAAGAAAGUUCUUUGAUAACUCGUGUGCUGCACAUUGGCGCAAUUUUCUUUUAUUUCUCUUGAUACUUUCGUCGAAUAAUAGGUUCGCUCGCUAUUUACGAAACAUUGAACCCCGUUCCGAACGAAUGUUCCUCGCACGGCAUCACACGGAACAGCGUUACAUCGUAUUUCACGUUUCCCUUAACAUUAAUCGCCUCGGAAUACGUAAACGAAACACGAGUAGUAACUUCACAGUACAUAUAAGUAGAAAUAUCUUUUCUUCUGUUUCUUUCUCGUAAAACAAAAGUUAUAUUUCUUACAAGCAUGUACGUAUGUAGAUAAAACAGAAUCUGAUUAUCAGAACACCAAUGAACCAAAAAUUUUGUGGAUAAUACCUCUAAGAAAGAAUAGAAAUGAAAGUAUUUUUUGUUAUAUUUCUAUUCAAAAUUUUUUGUUCUUGUUUGUUUAGUAUGAAAUUUUAUAAAAUAGUUUAAAAUAAAUUAUCUUAUUUCGUAUACAAACAAAAUUACUUGAUUAUUCGAAUAGUUAGUUUGGAUAAUCAAAAUUCUAUUGUAUGUUUAACGUCUUCUGACUGUAGAAUAGAGUUCUUAAGAAUCUUGGCUAUCCAAGGUGGUUGUCCUAACAUUAUCGCCGUGGAAAAAUUUUAUUACUCGUUUCACGAACGGAUUUUCAUCGUUAUUGAACGAUAAUUGGCAGAUAUUUGUUUCCUUCGCCCUCCUUUUCAUCUGCUCGAUAAUGUUACAUGCUUUAAUAAUACGAACAAUUUCUGCAUGGGAAACUUGUUAAAGUUCCAUUAGUUCGAUACCAUCGAUCUUUAUUCGUGUUGCAUUAGCGAAAUUCCACGGUACUUUUUCUCACAUUUGCCCACUCAAACUUCUUUCUCGGUGGAUGUAUUGUUUUCGAGUUAAAUGUCCAAUAAUUUGGUAAGAUAAACUCCUUGAAACACCAAAACUCUUACUCUCUGAAAUUACUUCUUGUUAAUUUGUACGUGCUCUUAUUCUUUCUAUCCUUUUUACGAAACAAGUGCCAAGCUUUACUUAUUUAAAGACAUUCUGUCACAUUUCUCUUACAUUACUUUAACAUAGUCGAUGCUGACGCUAUAUGUAUGUAAAUACUUUUCAAAAACAUAUUAAUAUCAGUCGAUAUUCCGAAGAUUAGCAGGCAGCUAUACAAAAAUUAAGUAAUCGAUACAAGUAUAAUUUAGUAAAACUAUAAUUAAUCUGAUCUAAAAUUACCCCCUACGAUUGAAAUUUUGUUGGAGAUUAUAGUAGAUUAUAGCUCCUCGUUUUCGUUUGAAAUCUAUAAAGUAUUAAAGUUAAUAAACAUUAUAAUAGUAAAUAGAAUAAUGCGGUCAUAAACAAACAAAUUGUACAACAUUGUAGAGAGUUAAGGUAAACCAAGUGGUUGUUGUGACAUUACAAAGGGAAACGAAUUCCUAACAUGCACUGUGCAGUUGGACACAGUGAGUGAGUGAGUGAGUGACUGAGUGACUGAGUGAGGGCGCAUAUGUAUGUGUGUAUGCGUGUGUGGGGGAGAGGGAGAGGGAGGGGGAGAGAGAGAGAGAGAGGGAGGGAGGGAGAGAGAGAGAGGGAAGAAAAAAUAAUAUAUAUACGAGUAUGUAGAUCGAGAACGAUCAAAGUGUUUACAUGCCUUACUUCUGCAUCAUACGAGUUCCUCAAAAGUCACAUUGAUCAACUCGAUAAACUGAAAUGUAGAGAAAAAUGACAUGAUAAUUGUAAACAUUAUUUUUCGAAAUUUUCUCGAAAGUUCGUGAUUAUCUACCCAUAAUGAAUAAAUUCAUGAAAGAAAGUCCUUUGCUCUUCGAAAUAUUGAAUAUUCACUGUAUACUUGGCUAAUGAAAUUGAAAACUUGAUACAGAAUUAAGUCGAUCAAUUUGAUUUCUCAGAAUGUUGGUGUGUCGCUCAAUGACAAGAUCACAUACCUUUCCUUCUUCCCCUCGAUUCGUUUUACAUGAAAGCUACAGUUUGCGACGUUAACUCUGCGUACUGUUUGAUAACGAUUACACAGUGACGCUACGAACGGGAACGCUAUGAACGUGACGGCCAAUGUAACUCCGUGUAUUCUACAUAGAGAAAUAAAGAUCAGUUCGGUGCGUCGAAAGCGGCACUUUAAAUGCUUGUCACUUGAUUCUUAGAUGUUAGCAAGCUAAAUUCCAUUCCAAAUUCCUCGAAUUCGUUCGAUUCUUGCCUCAACUAUCCAUUAUCUGGAAGUUCUUUCAAAAGAAUUUUAUUUUAAAGUUUAUCUGUUUGCGCCGAUGUGACUGCUUAAUAAAUUUUAAACUAACGAUUUCCAUUGUGUCUAUUAAUCAAAAUAAUGCCUGUUUAUACUAAAAGAGAAAAAUGGAGAUUGUUUAACAAACAUUAAAUUUAAUAUUUUUAAAAAUUUAUUUACAAUUUACUUGUAAUUAUAUUUAUCAUGUAAUAAGUACAGUAGAUUAUUGCCUAAAAAUCGUAUUUAGUAGCAAUUUCAUCAAAUUUGAUUAGGAUAAUAUGUUGUUUGAAAAUGUUCAGGUAGAAUGCAAAGAGAAAUGAAUAUUUAAGAUUGACAGGUGUAGCUACUAAUUCGUAGGAAGAUGAAAAGCAAAGACUGAGGGGAAUGGCUUCUUUGAAGCUAAGAACUGAACCGCAAAGUAUAUAUUUGUAGGAAGUGUAAAUUUAUAGCAGCUUUGAAAUUCUUGAAAUCUCUAAAAGCGGAUUUGUUAAGAAUUCUAGUUCGGACGACGAAGUUGGAUCUAUAAUGGAAAAUAAAAUUCUCUCCGUGAAAAUUUCUGUAAUCUUGCAAACUCAGUUUAUAAUUUCAUAAAUUACGGUUUCCAUCGGAAAUUUAAUAUCGCUUAAAGAUUAGUAUGGCCUGCAUAAAAAGAUAAAGCGAUUUCAUAUAAUAUAAUCUCUCGAUCGAUUAAAGUUCUUUUUCAAAGUAAUAAAUUUCCUGUUUGAUGUUAUUUUUCGCACUUUCUUUUAACUAAAUUAUUACAUCUUACAAAUGACUUUUUAUCACUUUACUUAGGUGUUCAUACGUUUCCGCGCUUCCUCUAAUUUAUUGACGAGCGAGUAUUUUAUUAAAUGUAUUUUAUUAAAUUAAUAUCGAUAACUUGUAAAUUAUAACCUAUAAAAUUUCAUAAAUAAUAUUAGUUCAAUUGUGAAAGGUGAUAUGGAUGUAGCAGAAUCGAUAAGAAGUCAAAAUUAUAGGUAUUUGUCAAAAUGUCCGUCCGGAUGCUAUCGAAAAAUCUAGCACAUCAGUUUGUAUUGUCACGUGUAACAAUACCAUCAGCGCUGCCUAAUUGCUCGAAAUAUAAUUCCCUUUCCGAUAUCACGGUUCUCUGUCGGCAUAUCGACGUCGAAUCGACAGACGCGCAACGUUUUAGGCGAUUGUCAUUAUCGUCGAACAAUUCGAAUGUAACGAAUAGAAUUAAUCGGAAAUUCGAGCGAAUCGAGGAGACUGCCGGUGACGUAUACGUGGGUCAGUGACAGCGUUCGAGCGAACAAAGCCGGCGACUUUUAUCCCUCUUUAGACGCGUAGACAUGUUUGUGAAACAAAAGGAAGGAAAUAUGAUUGAACUUUUUUGCGUAUUAUUACUUGUGAUUAUAUUUCUCUAUAUAGUAAUAUAAAUAUGUUAUUGUACACUACAUGUAGAUAUAUGUUACUGAUAAAUUAAAAUGAUACACAAUUUUGUCAAGUUUAAUAUCUAAAAACUCAAAAUAGUGUCGUUUUUGUUUGUUUUUUUCUUUUUAGGUUUAACACGCGGCUAGAAUUAAAAACAGUAGAA